rnacentral:rRNA from 1 species
GGCUUUCACAUCAGACUUAUUCUUCCGCCUGCGCUCGCUUUUCGCCCAAUAUAUCCGGACAACGCUUGCCACCUACGUAUUACCGCGGCUGCUGGCACGUUGUUAGCCGUGGCUUUCUGGUUGAUUACCGUCACUUCCAGGACAG